ACUCCCGUGAGAAUGCCCUAUUUUACCAAACAUGGAAAACAGGAGCUGGUAUCAGGCACAAACCUUAGCCCACGACACCUUGCUCAGCCACACCCCCACGGGUAAUUCAGCAGUAAUAAACAUUAAGCCAUAAGUGAAAACUUGACUUAGUUAACAUCAAAUAGGGCCGGUUAAACUCGUGCCAGCCACCGCGGUUAUACGAGAGGCCCAAGUUGACACACACCGGCGUAAAGUGUGGUUAAUGUAGAAAAAACUAAGGCCGAACACCUUCAAGGCCGUUAUACGUGUCCGAAGGCAGGAAGACCCCCAACGAAAGUGGCCUUAAACAAGAUGAAACCACGAAAGCUAUGGCACAAACUGGGAUUAGAUACCCCACUAUGCAUAGCCUUAAACACAAAUGUGCCACCACUACAACCAUUCGCCAGGGAACAACGAGCCCCAGCUUAAAACCCAAAGGACUUGGCGGUGCUUUAGACCCCCCUAGAGGAGCCUGUUCUAGAACCGAUACUCCCCGUUCAACCUCACCCCCUCUUGCUCUUCCCGCCUAUAUACCGCCGUCGUCAGCUUACCCUGUGAAGGCUUAACAGUAAGCAAAAUUGGCAAAGCCCAAAACGUCAGGUCGAGGUGUAGCGAACGAGGGGGGAAGAAAUGGGCUACAUUUACUGCAUCAGUAAACACGGACAUUGCAUUGAAACCAGCAUUUGAAGGAGGAUUUAGCAGUAAGGGAGGAAUAGAGAGCCCCCCUGAAAACGGCCCUUAAGCGCGCACACACCGCCCGUCACUCUCCCCGACACAACACCACCCAUAAAUAAUAAAAAUUAAUGAACAAGGGGAGGCAAGUCGUAACAUGGUAAGUGUACCGGAAGGUGCACUUGGAAAAACC
rnacentral:ncRNA from 1 species